CAUCGGAGGUCAAAUUCAAGGCGCAAAUCGGAGAAGAAGAUAAGCAAGGUGCUCUGCCGCUGAAAAUGUCGAGAUUGCCCCUCUCGAAGUAGUUGUAGCCAGGACCCAUAAGGCCGCCCCAGGUCUCUAAAUUGCGAAUUUCUACGUACUCACCGUAGGCAUUAUAGAGCCUGACGCUGAUGAUAGAGUCGGUUCCUGCUUUAAAGGUCGUGCUGGUCCUUACGUACAACGUAUACACGCAAUCCUCAUCCGCCUGCAAUUAAAAAAACAUUAUUUAUAUGUGAAAAAAAUGAAAGGAGGUGUAGUGGCGGUGGUUAUGGCGUAACUUACUGAAACGGCGACAAUGGAUAGGGCAAAGAGAAGGAAAGAACAGAGAAGAAGAUUGUUGAGUGCCAUAAUUGAGUGUGAAAACGGCGGGUUGAUGGUAGAGCUGUCAUUUAUAUCGUUGAAAGUGGACGUUGACGUGGUGGUAUUAUUGUCUUUUCGUUGGGUGAGUCCUAAAGAAGAUUGUAGAAGUGUGUGUAUAUGAAAACGAAAAGAAGGUUAUUAUAUGUGCAGCUUAAGAAUAAGUUCUCUGCUCUCUACCAUUAUGCCCCUAUUUGAUUAAUUUUUUUUAUUGCAUUUUAUUAAAUACAAUAUAGAAAAUUAUAAAAGAUUUGCAUUUAUAAUCUGAUUUGUUACAAAAUUAAUUGUCCAUGAAAUAUAUAUAUGUGUGUGUAUUAUCAUAUAUAAAUGUUCUUUGUGUGAAUUUAAUUUAAAUAUAAAAUGUAUUACUUUCUUAUAUAUAAAAUAUAUUGAAUAACUUCAAGGACUUUUCAUGUGUAGCUAUCAAUAGUUUGUAGUUUUACGCCCUAGGACAUAGCUUUAAUCGUAAAUACAUAUAUGAUUUAAGAAUGGAUUCAAAUUUAAAUUUUAAAUAUUAAAACAAAAGCAAUAAUUUGUAGUAUCGGCUUUCAAUCUUAUGGUGCUAUGUGUCAUGGACUUUCCAAAAACCAAAACAUGAAAGAAAUUAUUUAUAUUAUCUUAUUGUUUAUACAGUAAUUAAUUAUUAAUAGGAGCUUAUUUAUUUUUAGAAAAUAAUUUAUUUUUGAGAAUUAUUUCUCGAAAUUAGAAAAUAUUUAUAAAACAACAUAUUUUUAUUUAUUUUAAAAAUAUAAUACAUUAAUAAUAAUAUCACAUGUACCAAUAAUAUAUUGAUUCGUGUGGUGAAUAACUUCAACCCCUAUAAAGGUAAGAAUAUAAAUUCAAUUUCUGAAAAAGCGCACUUUGCUAUGAGGUUAAAAUAUCUUUAUCCUCUAUGGUCUGAUAGAGAUUACAAAAAGCCAAAAAACUCAGUGAGGAGAUCCAUUUUAAAAUAUAAGAAGCAAAUAAAUUGUUAUAAUUAAAUUUCAAUAAACCUCAUCCAUUUUUCAUUAAUUGAAUUCUAUUUAUAAUAAUUUCCUUGUCAAUAUGUACAAAUACAUCUCUUUUAAUAUUAUCGUUUUUUUGUGAUUAGAUACAAUUAAAAAUUCAUGCUAUCUCUUAAAAUUAAUUAAUUUUUUAAAUACUACAAUAGGAUGAAUACAAUGUUCAAUAUCCAAAAUUAAUUUGUUAAACUCCCUAAAUUGCAAUGCAUUUUUCUUAAAAAAAAAAAAAAUGAAAUGCAUUAGGUUAAUAAUGUAAGGCACCCAAACCAUGUGUAUAAUUAAGUAUAUAUUUUAUGAUUUAAAAUAAACCAAUGAGAAAUUCAAGAUUGAACAUUCUCCUUUUCUUUAUAUUAAUUAGGAAAUAAUACUAUAUUAUUAUUAUCUACGAAAAAAUUAUUUCAAUAAUAUUAAUAUGAAAGAAUUUAAUUAAAAAUAAUAAUAAUAAUGAUAACAAAUAAGAUCUAUCAAAAAUAAUUUUUAACCUAAGUUAGGGUUAAUACAAAAAAUAAUUUUUAACAAAUAAGAUAAAUUCGUAGGUUAAUUUGUAGGCUUUUGAAAGUCUCAUAUAAAAUAAUUAUCAUCAUUUUCAUGAGAAGCAAUUUUCUUCAAUCCACAUAGAAGUUGAAGGAAUUAAAGCUCAUGUGCUAUUGCAAACUCCGAACGCUGACUAAAAUGAGGAUCAAAAUUAUUAAAUUUGGAUGUAUGUUGAAUAAUUAGAGUACAAAUAAAAAUAAAAAAAAAGACAAAGCCACAAAGUUAACCUUUUAGAAAAAAAAAAAAAAUACCACAUAUCAAUUUUUUAAAAGAAAAAUCAGGGAGUCCACUGCCUCCUUGGCCUAUAGUGGCUUUUCACGUUCACGUAGAUUAGACAUAGAACUUUAUUAUCGCAAUUAAUAGAAUCUGCUCAUGUUUUAACAAACUAAAAAUAUUAUUUUUAUUUAUAUUCUUUUGAAUAAUAAAAUUAAAAUUAAAAGAGAUUAUUUUUUUAUCAGCAAAUAUAAUUUUAUUUUAUUUUAUUAAUUAAACAUCCAGGAAAAACUUAACAAAAUCAAGAAAUUAUAUCUGAGCCAAUAGGCCUCCUAAAUACACACAAUCUUACUUGAAAAUGAUAAGUGAAAAAAUUGGAGAACUUUAAAAAUUAAGAGAGAUUAUACUUUAUCCUUACGCUUGAGGAUGAUCUUAAUCUUAUUAAAUGAUAUAAAUCUUGAUAGUAGCAACUAAUACUUAAAUUAAUUUGAAAGAUAAAAUAACUUAUUUAUAUUUUCUAUAUCUUGAUCUUGUAGUAUAUGAAGUACAUAGAAAGGUUCCCGUAGCUAUGUGCCAAUAGAAAUAAUAGAAAAACAUAUUACACUCCUAACCUCCAUUAAUUGAAGAUUCGCAUUUGCAAAUUAAAAUUUAAAUUAUUCCACUAAAUAAAAUCAAAUAUUAUAUAUUUAUUUAAUAACGAACCAUCACAAAGGAGGAACCAAAUCCUGACAGAGAAAAGAUCAAAUCCUCAAAGAGAAAAGAUCAAAUUAUCACACAAAAUGUAUAAAAGAAACUCCAUGUACCUAGACAAAGUAGGAAUAAUAAUAAUAAAAAAAAAGGAUUUGUUAUGGGAAGCAACUGAUACUAGUUUAUUGAAAGUGAAUAAAAGAUUGAAAGUGAAAGGAAGAGUAGAAAAUAGGAGCUACCGCUUAUCAAUAAUAAAUUGAAAUUAAGAUUAGAUUAUUUGUUUUUAAUUAUUUUAUUGUAAUGCAAUAAUAAUAAUAAUGAUAAUUAAGCCUCAAUUUUAAAUUAAUUGAGGAUUGAUAUAUAAGUCCUUUGUCAUUUUAUCGCUCAAAUAUAUAAAAAUAAGAAAUAAGCAAAUCGUAAGUAAAUAAAUAAGUAUAUAUAUAUAUAUAUAUAUAUAUAUAUAUAUAUACACACCAUAAUGUCCAAAUCAUCAAAUGUUAUCCUCUCAUUUUAUCUCUAUCUUUGACUAUUUGAUGCACCUUUUGUCGAGUGUAGUCAUUCUUAACCUGUCCAACCUUAUAUAAGGGUACAUCCAUCUUAACAUGCAUUUCUUUAGAACAUUAAUGUCAUGGGACAUUCGAUGUCCAUACUGACUUCUGUAUGACAUUGCGGGUUUCAUUGUCGUCCAGUCGAACUUAUCUUUCAACUUUUUUAGUAUUUUCAUAUCACAUAAUAUAUUUUUAUUGUUUGGUAUUAAACAUUAAUUAAAAUUUUCAAUUUAUUAAAUAUAAAAAUUUUAUACUUUAAAAAUUUAUUGUUAAUAUAAUAAAAAUAUAUAAAAAUAAUAAAUUAAAGUAAUCAUCACGAGUAAUGACCAAUAAUAGUUAGUACUUAAUAAUUAUAAUGGAUGACCGAUAAUGAUUCACGAGGAUUAUUAUUAAUUAAUAUAUUAAUAUAAAUGUUUGUUUAUAUAAUUUGCACACUAAGAUAUGGUCUAGUAGUAAGUGCAUAUAUGAUCUGAUAAUAAAUUUAAAUUUGAAUCUUCCUUUCCAAUACUAAAAAAAAAAGUUACAAUGAAUUUAUCGAUAUUCAAAAAAUAUUUCUCUUUUUAAUUAAAAUAUUAUUUUUUUUACCAAUUUUUAGCUCUUUCAUUACUUAUAACAUGUGAGGAAAAUUAGUUCUAAGUUUUGUCUAAUACGAUCCAUAUUUUAUAACUAGACAUAAUUUGGAUUGACCAUCAAAAAUAUUUUCGUCGUCAAAAAUUUUGAAGGCUUAUAUUUAUAAAAUUAAAAAUAAUAUUAUAUAGAUUUACUAAAAUGAAAAAGUAAUAAUGAUAUGAGUCAAAUUUAUUUUCAAAAUUCAUAUUCUCUCCGUCUUUAACCAUCUGUCGAAUUAGAAUCAGGCGAAUGCAGAUUGGUAAAAUGAGCAUUUCUAUUCUUUGGGAAGAAUGUGUGAUAAGAAAGAUUCCAAGUCCAUAAAAGAUCUAAAGAUAAAAACAUGUAAAGGAUAAAAUACAAAAGAAAGAAAAAAAAAAUGUACAUCUUGCGUUCAGGGCUGUUAGGAGUGCAAGACAUUGGCAAGAUCCUGCCAAACCUCAAAGGAGAAGGACAAUCCAACAGCGUAUGGAAAAAACAAUAAUGUCUUCAUUAAGGGAAGAGAGAAGCAUAUGACUUUGUAAAAUCAUCUACUAAAAUCAAACAUCCCCCAUUACUUGCAAAUGUAAUUUGUAAAUGUUAGCUUAUUUAGUCUUUUUUUUUUUUUUUUUUUUUUCCCAGUCCUAUCAGGUCCGUCACCAUUAAUGAGCAUUAAAGCAAGUGACGACAAGUUAAAUUAGAUCUCAGCAACAAAAACACAUCAAACCAUGGGAUUUGUUCGUUUGUUAAUUAAUACUACCUAAUAAGGCCCAUGAAAAAAGAAAAGGCAAUUGAAAUAGCAUUAUUUAUUGAUUAGACAAUUAACAACACAGCAUACCAUAAUUAAAAUUACGAGCACCACACAGAAAAAAGUCCCUCUCAACGAUCUCCAUUCUCUACAGUCAGAAUACAGCAGAUUUCACCCGAUCACGGCCUCUAACAUCGGCGAGAUUUGGACAAUAAUUCUCAGAGUACAGCAGAUUUCACCCGAUCACGGCCUCUAACAUCGGCGAGAUCUGGACAAUAAUUCCUGGUAGCCGUCAACUGAUACGGCGAUACCUUCUCGGAGAGCCACUGCUCCACCGUAAACUGCUGCUGCGAGCAAGACUCAUGAACUCCGGUGGUUGUGACCUCAACGUAGUUACAGUACCAGCUGGAACCCGAGCCGGUUCCGUCGGAGGUCAAGUUCAAAGCGCAAACCGGAGCGCUCAAGCAAGAUCCUCUGCCGCUGAAAAUGUCGAGAUUGCCCCUCUCGAAGUAGUUGUAUUCCGGACCCAUGAGGCCGCCCCAGGCCUCUAGAUUGGAGAUCUGGAUGAACUCGCCGUAGGCGUCGUAUAGCCUGACGCUGAUAAUGGAAUCGGUUCCUGCUUUUAUGAUAGAUCCGGUUCUUAUGUAUAUUGUAUACACGCAGUCCU
rnacentral:lncRNA from 1 species